rnacentral:lncRNA from 1 species
UUGUUGAUACUAUUAUAGCUUGCCAAAUCUAAUUUUUUGUACUUAUAUUUAUUAGCCUGUGUAUAUGUUACCAUGUAUGUGUGUGCUUGAUGAAUGCAAAGGUCAGAAAAGGGCACUGAAUACUGGAACUGGAAUUAUAAAAGAGUUGUGAGCUGUCAUGUGGGUGCUUGGAUCUGAACCCAAGUCCUCUGUAAGAACAGUAACUGCUCUUAACAGCUGAGCCGUCUCUCUAGGCCCUACCCUACCAAAUCUCAAAAGGCUUACUUUUUUAUUAUUAGUCCUAGUCAUUUUCAACUGAAGAGUUGUGUAUGUAUUUCAGAAGAAUAAUAUAAAUAAUUGGGCUCUGAGCAUCUAGCUAGUUAGAACCUAUCCACCUUGCCUGCUAAAUCACAGUGGAAAUCUUGAGAGAGUUGGAACAGAAGAACUUAAAACUAUAAAGUUCUCUUCAAGGAUCUAUUAAGACAUAACCACUUAUAAAACCGUACUUCUCAUUAGUGUUAGGGAAUUUUCAUUUUAGAACUCUAAAGCCAUGUUUGCUAAUUAUCUUCUCUACUAAACAUAGUCCAGAAAGACAAAGAUUUGUGCUCCCCUCUAUUGUAUAUGUGGCAUGCACAUAGAAGAAACUAAAAAUUUACUGAAUGAAUUUAUGAGAAAUGAUUUUCUGUGCUUUUAAGAGAACUGUCUGGCACAUGUCAAGUCUUAAGAGAUUAAAAAAUGGCUCUUAAUUUUUUAGAGUUUAUAUUUUUAUUUACUGUUUUGUAUUAAUUAUUAUAACAUGUGCCAUAACGUGCUAGUGGAGGUCAGAAGACAGCUAUGGAAGUUGGUCUUUUGGCUUCCAACAUGUGAUCCCUGGAUUGAACUCAGGUUCUCAGACAUGCACAGUAGCACAUUCUCCCACUGAACCAUCUUGCUGGCCCUAGACUGGCCCUUUCCCCCAUUCUCAUCUUGUUCUAAUCAAAUCAUCAUAAAUACAGUCAUUUGACAUUUAAAAUAAAUAAAAGUUUGUAUCAACACUUGUAGACUAGAAUUUGGUUGAAUUCUAAAAAAAAAUGUCUUUCAAAUAUGGUACAUCUGUUAACUAAUAUGAACUGGUUUUUACUAUUUCAAACUAAGUAAAAAUAAUUUUAUUCAGUGUUAUAUGUUUUUAAUCUACAUGUUGUCUUAUGAAUAAAUGUUUCUAAAUGCAGUUUGGGAACUAGAAUUUGAGGGGAACUUUUUUCUUUAGCUUUCUGGAUAAUCACAAAAUAAAGUGGAUUCUUAAAAGUGUCAGUGGACCUGGUAAGGUGGAAGUGUUCCAGCCGCAGCUCAGAUAGUGGAAACUUUCUGCGAACAAUUUAUUUUAUUUUCCUUAUCCUACAGAAAUCACUCUAGGUCUGAAGAAGGCUUUAAGUAUGAAUGCCAUGGUCACAUGUUUUAAACAGUUUCUUUAUGGUUAUACUGGAGAUGGAUUUGAGGAGACAGUAUUAAAGACAAUGAGAAUAAGAAAUUGUAAUGGGAAUGGAGUUCUGAAUGCCAUGGUCACAUGUUUUAAACAGUUUCUUUAUGGUUAUACUGGAGAUGGAUUUGAGGAGACAGUAUUAAAGACAAUGAGAAUAAGAAAUUGUAAUGGGAAUGGAGUUCUGAAGUAGGGAAUUGAAUGUAGGAAUUUAGAGAGCCUAAAUGUGAGAUUUGUGUAGGAGAUGAUAUUGGAAGGCUUAGAUGAUUAAAUAAGGAAAGGAAGAAACUAAUGGGAGUAAGCUAGUUGAAAAUUGGGAAAAGUUGUGAAUGACAGGACUUAAAAAAAAAGUUGGUGGGGGAGCGUGUGGGCGACUUUUGGGAUAGCAUUGGAAAUGUAAAUGAAAUAAAUACCCAAUUAAAAAAACAU